CAGCAGCCACGGUAAUACGGAGGGAGCUAGCGUUGUUCGGAAUUACUGGGCGUAAAGCGCGCGUAGGCGGUUAUUUAAGUCAGGGGUGAAAGCCCGGUGCUCAACACCGGAACAGCCCUUGAGACUGGAUAACUUGAAUCCAGGAGAGGUGAGUGGAAUUCCGAGUGUAGAGGUGAAAUUCGUAGAUAUUCGGAAGAACACCAGUGGCGAAGGCGGCUCACUGGACUGGUAUUGACGCUGAGGUGCGAAAGCGUGGGGAGCAAACAGGAUUAGAUACCCCCGUAGUCCCUGUCUCUUAUAC
rnacentral:rRNA from 1 species